GGGGGUGACAAGGUUUCGACGGGGGUUGGAAGCACAAGUUGCAUGCCGGAGUGGGCUGGCUCCGUUAAAAAGCCCAUCUUAUACAAACGCCGAUAACGACGUUUCGUACGCAAUGGCUGCUUAAUUGCAGUCACGUCUCUGGUUCUAUUGUCCGUGUAGGUCCUGAGACGUCAAUUUAGCGGACUAGUCCCGGUGAAUGUCUGCGGCACCGGGGCGAAACUCAAGCAGACUCGCCCGCAAGGAAUCCUGUCCGUGGGAGUUCUUUCGGGUUAAUCAAAACGCGGACUAAGCAUGUAGAAGCUUGUCGUGAAAAACUUUCGGACGCGGGUUCGAUUCCCGCCACCUCCACCA
rnacentral:tmRNA from 1 species